AACGAACGCUGGCGGCAUGCCUAACACAUGCAAGUCGAACGAGACCUUCGGGUCUAGUGGCGCACGGGUGCGUAACGCGUGGGAACCUGCCUUUAGGUUCGAAAUAACUCAGAGAAAUUUGAGCUAAUACCGGAUAAUGUCUUCGGACCAAAGAUUUAUCGCCUUUAGAUGGGCCCGCGUAAGAUUAGCUAGUUGGUGGGGUAAAAGCCUACCAAGGCGACGAUCUUUAGCUGGUCUGAGAGGAUGAUCAGCCACACUGGGACUGAGACACGGCCCAGACUCCUACGGGAGGCAGCAGUGGGGAAUAUUGGACAAUGGGCGAAAGCCUGAUCCAGCAAUGCCGCGUGAGUGAUGAAGGCCUUAGGGUUGUAAAGCUCUUUUACCCGGGAUGAUAAUGACAGUACCGGGAGAAUAAGCUCCGGCUAACUCCGUGCCAGCAGCCGCGGU
rnacentral:rRNA from 1 species